rnacentral:rRNA from 1 species
CCUACGGGGGGCAGCAGUAGGGAAUCUUUCACAAUGGGCGAAAGCCUGAUGGAGCAACGCCGCGUGCAGGAUGAAGGCCUUCGGGUUGUAAACUGCUUUUAUAAGCGAGAAAUAUGAUGGUACCUUAUGAAUAAGGAUCGGCUAACUACGUGCCAGCAGCCGCGGUCAUACGUAGGAUCCGAGCAUUAUCCGGAGUGACUGGGUGUAAAGAGUUGCGUAGGUGGCAUAAUAAGUAGCUAGUGAAAUCUGGUGGCGCAACCAUUCAGACUAUUAGCUAAACUGUUAAGCUCGAGACCGUUAGGGGUAACUGGAAUUUCUAGUGUAGGAGUGAAAUCCGUAGAUAUUAGAAGGAACACCAAUAGCGUAGGCAGGUUGCUGGGACGGUUCUGACACUAAGGCACGAAAGCGUAGGGAGCAAACGGGAUUAGAUACCCCUGUAGUC